GAGUGAAAGAAAAAGAAAAGAAAUUACUGAAUUCUAAACGUACUAUUGGUUGGAAAUCCCACUUUCGUCUCUUACCGAUUUAGUUGACAAAAUUGAAGAAGGAAAUUCAAAAAAUAAAAAGAAACAUCCAAUCUAGAAAUUUCUUGAUAUAACUUUCUGUAGUCCCCCAAUCAGCAAUCUUCUUACCUUAUCUAUCAAAAUUAAUUUCCCAUCAUGCCUAAUCAAAUCCCUAAUCACUUAAGAUGAUAUCUUCAAUCAAUCACCUCCAUCUUAAAUCAACACUCUCCUAUAAAUAAUUUUCUUUUUAUGUUCUCAGCAUCUCACCAUUUCUCCUUAGCUUCCUUCUUCUAAUUAUUUUUCUCAAAUUUUAGUUUCAAAUUGAACUGAAUCUAAAAUUUGGUUGCGAAAUUGUUAGAAAGUUUGAAGAAUCAAAAGUUUGUUUGAUGCUCCCAAAAAACAUGAACUAGACGGAGAUUUUGUAGAAGGAGCUUUUUAGGGAUGACUUUAUUAUUUGUUUUUGAGCUACUCAAGAUGGCAAGACUUCACCAAACCGCAAGAAAAAGGCAGCGAGGAAACUCACUGGCCCUCUCUGCUUCACCUUACUUGAUCCGCAUGCGAUACGGGGAGGAUGUUUGUGAUUAUGUCCACCAUUUGGACUUGGCUAUUGAAAGCUACCAUUUCAAUGAUUUAUAUGAAGAUUCAGACUUUUGCACUCCUGAAAAGAAAGCAUAUGUUUUAUUGACAACCCUACCCGAGCGAGGACCAUUAGGAGCAAUCUAAAGAAAAUAAGGUGAUGUUUAUGUUAAUGAUACACUUAAUUUUGAGAGGUACACGCAUAUAGGAUCAUGGUUUCUGACUAUUGAGUAUCUACGAAGGGUCAUGAUUGAUGCUAUCGAAGAAUACUAUUACAAUCUCAAUCUGAAUGGCUCUAGUUCUGAUGAAGAAGAAGCUAAUAGAAGCCCUACCCCUACCCACCCUCUGUCCGAGAUGGAAGAUGAAGAGCCUAUGGAGGAUGAUGACCUUUAAGUUAUUCUUUCUUUUAUUUUAUUACGUGCAAUAAGAUUUUUAGAGCCAAUAGAUGUUAUGUUGAACAAGAUGUUAUGUUGAUUGAAUGAUUGAAUAAAAAUGUUUACAUUUUCUAA